rnacentral:rRNA from 1 species
AGUCUGCAACUCGACUACAUGAAGCUGGAAUCGCAGUAAUCGCGAAUCAGAAUGUCGCGGUGAAUACGUUCCCGGGUCUUGUACACACCGCCCGUCACACCAUGGGAGUUGGGAAUGCCCGAAGCCGGUGACCUAACCGAAAGGGAGGAGCCGUCGAAGGCAGGCUUGAUAACUGGGGUGAAGUCGUAACAAGGUAGC